AGAAUGAACGCUGGCGGCGUGCUUUACACAUGCAAGUCGAGCGAGGCGGGUAGCAAUACCCAGUCGAGCGGCGAACGGGUGAGUAACACGUGGAUCAUCUACCUUCAGGUGGGGGAUAACCCGGGGAAACUCGGGCUAAUACCGCAUAACAUCGCGAGAUCAAAGGGGCGCAAGUCCCGCCAGAAGAGGAGUCCGCGUUCGAUUAGCUAGUUGGUAGGGUAAUGGCCUACCAAGGCCACGAUCGAUAGCCGGCCUGAGAGGGUGAUCGGCCACACUGGAACUGAGACACGGUCCAGACUCCUACGGGAGGCAGCAGUGGGAAUUUGCGCAAUGGGCGAAAGCCUGACGCAGCAACGCCGCGUGGAGGAUGAAGGUCUUUGGAUUGUAAACUCCUGUCAGCAGGAAAAGGCCUGGCCACACAGGUCAUUGAUUGUACCUGCGAGAGGAACGCCCCGGACUAACUCGUGUCGCCAGCAGCCGC
rnacentral:rRNA from 1 species